GGAAGUAAAAGUCGUAAACAAGGUUUCCGUAGGUGAACCUGCGGAAGGAUCAUUACAGAGUUCAUGCCCUCACGGGUAGAUCUCCCACCCUUGAAUAUUUAUACCUUAGUUGCUUUGGCAGGCCGUGGAAACACCAUGGGCUCCGGCUUAUGCGUGCCUGCCAGAGGAAACAAACUCUGUUUUUAGUGACGUCUGAGUACUAUAUAAUAGUUAAAACUUUCAACAACGGAUCUCUUGGUUCUG
rnacentral:misc_RNA from 1 species